ACUACGUGUUUGGCCUAAUUCUCGAACCAUAGUUUGGUCCUUGAGAGACGACCUAGGAGUCAUUCCCUAGCUAUAAUGCAUUUCUCAUAUGCAAUCAAAUUUGUAUGGGUUGCAACAGCCCAUCAAAAUUUUGGCGCCGUUGUUGGGGACGAACAGUUCGGUUUUAGGUCUUUGUUGUGUUAGUGUGUGUUGUGUUUUGUCUUGUGUUGUGAGUGUGUUGUUCUGUUCUGUGUGUGAUGUUUUGUGUUGUUGCAUUUAGGUAGCUUUAGUUGCAUAUUCUCAUUGCUUUCUUCUUUUCCCCCUUCUUUCCCAUGUCUACUUAUUUUGGUUUUGUGAAUAUUGUUUCUUCUGCCUGUGCCUGUGACUAUGAUUCUCCUCCUACAUCUGACUCUGAUAUUGCUUCUCAUGCAUAUUUUGUUGAUGUUUAUGUUGAGAAUAGUACGAUUCCUCCUCCAUCUCAUGAGAGUGCUCCAAGGGAGCCGAUUCCAUUUGAUGAGGAGGAUAUUCGUUGUGUUUUCAACACUGUACUGAUACAUU
rnacentral:lncRNA from 1 species